GAUGAACGCUAGCUACAGGCUUAACACAUGCAAGUCGAGGGGCAGCAUGAACUUAGCUUGCUAAGUUUGAUGGCGACCGGCGCACGGGUGAGUAACACGUAUCCAACCUGCCGAUGACUCGGGGAUAGCCUUUCGAAAGAAAGAUUAAUACCCGAUGGCAUAGUUCUUCCGCAUGGUAGAACUAUUAAAGAAUUUCGGUCAUCGAUGGGGAUGCGUUCCAUUAGGUUGUUGGCGGGGUAACGGCCCACCAAGCCUUCGAUGGAUAGGGGUUCUGAGAGGAAGGUCCCCCACAUUGGAACUGAGACACGGUCCAAACUCCUACGGGAGGCAGCAGUGAGGAAUAUUGGUCAAUGGACGAGAGUCUGAACCAGCCAAGUAGCGUGAAGGAUGACUGCCCUAUGGGUUGUAAACUUCUUUUAUACGGGAAUAAAGUGAGCCACGUGUGGCUUUUUGUAUGUACCGUAUGAAUAAGGAUCGGCUAACUCCGUGCCAGCAGCCGCGGUAAUACGGAGGAUCCGAGCGUUAUCCGGAUUUAUUGGGUUUAAAGGGAGCGUAGGCGGGUUGUUAAGUCAGUUGUGAAAGUUUGCGGCUCAACCGUAAAAUUGCAGUUGAUACUGGCGACCUUGAGUGCAACAGAGGUAGGCGGAAUUCGUGGUGUAGCGGUGAAAUGCUUAGAUAUCACGAAGAACUCCGAUUGCGAAGGCAGCUUACUGGA
rnacentral:rRNA from 1 species